rnacentral:tRNA from 1 species
GGGAAUAUAGCUCAGUGGUAGAGUGUCUAGCAUUGUGAAGCCCUGGGUUCAAUCCCCAGUAAGGCCA